AUGCAGGAAAUGAAAAGCAAACACUUAAAGAUAAUCAGACAGCUGGAAAACACAAAGAAAGAAAACCAAAGCAAGGAGCAGACUAUAACUACUAUAAAUAAACUUUAUGGUGACAAAAUUAGGAGUUUGAAAUCCCAGUUGGAAGCUUACCAUGAACUGAUGAACAAGAACAGCACCCAUUGGCAAAAUGCUGUUAAGAGCCUGAGGGAAAGAAACAGAAAACUGAGCCAGGACAAAGAAGAUCUUAUUCACCAAAUGAAGCAACAAACAGAAAAAAUGGAAGAACAAAAGGUCUCCAUUCUAGAAAAUCUGACAAAAAGAAUAAAACAUCUUUAUACCCAGCACACAUUGACUUUGCAGGAACUUCACACCAUCAGUCUAUAUGUGGAGAGAGUGCAUGACCUCGUGAAUUUCCAGAUAAAAAUUCUUCAACAAAAGUCUGAAAAGACAGAAGAAGAAAAAUCCGAUGUGCCAGUGAUUUUAAAAUUAAAGGCAGAACAAGCAGCUAAUGAAGAGAAGCCUGAAUGCUUAAUGGAAACAGAACCUCUUUGGCAAGCACACGUCAUGUUGCAAAAGAUACAGGAAUCUUUACAGAAACAAGACAGAGAAAUCAGUGAGACCCUUGAAAGUGAAAGAUAUUACAAAACAAUGAAACCUCAAAUCAAGGUGCUAAUGUUCUUGAAAAAUCUUGCCAAGAAGGUUCACACCAUAUAUUGUGAUGUUCCUGAGGCACAACAGUAUAUCAGCCAGCUUAUCAGAAAGAACAAGGAUGAAAGGGCUGAUCAGAAAGAAGCCUUUAAUAAUGCUCAGGCUGACAUUCUGUCUUAUGAAGUAUUUUAUGGAAAUGAACCCAUGGAUGACAAAAGGACAGAGCUGUCAAUGAAGCUUUUCAGAAAUCUUGGGAAAGCAAAAUCUGAAUUUGAAUACAUUGAAACGGAGAAGAUGGUUUUUGAUUGUAUCCGGACAGGGGAAAUCCCCAACUGGAUUAAAAGGGAUUGUCUUUAUGUAGCCUUGGCAGGUGAGAUAUCCUUUUGUCAAGUCAAAGAAAGCUAAUUUGCUCAGACAACUAACUUUUGAAUGUAAGAAAACAGAGUACAGCAAUUAAAGACACCUAGAGCAUGCUGCAAUCGGAAUUAUAGAAUGGUUUGGAUUGGAAGGGCCCUUAAAGAUCAUUGAAUUCCAACCUCUCUGCCAUGGGCAGGCACACCUCCUACUAGACCAGCUUGCUCAAAGCCCCGUCCAACCUGGCCUUGAACACUUCCACGGAUAUUCUCUGGGCAGCCUGUUUCAGUGCCUCACCACCCUCAUAGUAAAAAAUAGUAACAAAUUUCUUCCUAAUGUAUAAUCUACAUUUAUCCUCUUACAGUUUAAAACCAUUACACCUUGUCCUAUUAUUACACUUCCUGAUAAAGAUAACGAUACCAUAAAGAAUCCCAUGAAACACCUGUGCAUGCACAUGUGCAUUUUAAUAAACUGCUGUAUGAAUUUAUAAGACUGCA
rnacentral:lncRNA from 1 species